rnacentral:rRNA from 1 species
UUGGGUGACCAGCGGAGGGAUCAUUACCGAGUUUACAACUCCCAAACCCAAUGUGAACGUUACCAAACUGUUGCCUCGGCGGGGUCACGCCCCGGGUGCGUCGCAGCCCCGGAACCAGGCGCCCGCCGGAGGAACCAACCAAACUCUUUCUGUAGUCCCCUCGCGGACGUAUUUCUUACAGCUCUGAGCAAAAAUUCAAAAUGAAUCAAAACUUUCAACAACGGAUCUCUUGGUUCUGGCAUCGAUGAAGAACGCAGCGAAAUGCGAUAAGUAAUGUGAAUUGCAGAAUUCAGUGAAUCAUCGAAUCUUUGAACGCACAUUGCGCCCGCCAGUAUUCUGGCGGGCAUGCCUGUCCGAGCGUCAUUUCAACCCUCGAACCCCUCCGGGGGAUCGGCGUUGGGGAUCGGGACCCCUCACACGGGUGCCGGCCCCUAAAUACAGUGGCGGUCUCGCCGCAGCCUCUCCUGCGCAGUAGUUUGCACAACUCGCACCGGGAGCGCGGCGCGUCCACGUCCGUAAAACACCCAACUUUCUGAAAUGUUGACCUCGGAUCAGGUAGGAAUACCCGCUGAACUUAAGCAUAUCAA